GUAAAAAACCAUCUGGUCCGCUAAUGUAGUAUCUGUUCUUAUCAGUUUAAUAUCUGAUAUGUCCCUUAUCUGGGGACCAUAUAUUAACUUGAUUUUUGGAGCAGGGAGAUGGAAUAGGGGAUUGCUCCAUCCGGAAAAAAAAAAAAUGUCCUUUAGAGAAGUAAGUCUGCUGUCCUUACCUUGUCUGGCCAACG